UACGGAGGGUGCGAACGUUGCUCGGAAUUACUGGGCGUAAAGCGCUCGUAGGCGGUUGUUCAAGUCAGAUGUGAAAUCCCCGAGCUCAACUUGGGAAGUGCAUUUGAAACUGGACGGCUGGAGGAUGGGAGGGGGUAGCGGAAUUCCCGGUGUAGAGGUGAAAUUCGUAGAUAUCGGGAGGAACACCAGAGGCGAAGGCGGCUACCUGGACCAUACCUGACGCUGAGGAGCGAAAGCGUGGGGAGCAAACAGGAUUAGAUACCCCCGUAGUCC
rnacentral:rRNA from 1 species